GAACGAUUAUAAAGAUUGUUACUUGUUGACCUGAAGAAAAAUAUGUACGGAUUCGGCUUCUGAGAU
rnacentral:snoRNA from 1 species